GUUACAAACCCUCACUCCCUUACCGCCAUUGCUGCUUCUACGUCGCAGUUGCUCUGCUAAGUAGUUUGUUGAGCUUGAAGCAGAUUUUUCCUUGAGUUGCCAUGAACACGUCUUGUGGAGCAAAUUUGGAACUAUCAAGAUGCAUUGCUGCAUCCCCUGUUUGUCGUUUAAAAUCUUCUAUCUUUGAGUUAAGAUCAUGUAUACCCAAGCUACAAGGCCUCUCAAAGAAGCUAUUGCCUUUAUGCAAAGAUAUAAAUGCUAGAAGUAACAAGGAGAGAAGCAUUCCAUUCUCUGUUACUUGUAGUGGCAGUCAGGUUGACACUCCUGCAGAUGAGCCCAGCAGUCUUACAUAUAAGGAUGCUGGUGUGGACAUCGAUGCAGGAUCAGAGCUUGUGAAGAGAAUAGCCAAAAUGGCACCUGGAAUUGGAGGAUU
rnacentral:misc_RNA from 1 species